ensembl:lncRNA
GUCAGAAGAGUGUGGCACUCUGAAGGCAUGAUUCAUGACCUAUUUUUGGCACUAACCUACCUGGGAUGAAUUAAAUUACACUUCACAAAUGCAAGUUCCUCCUACUGAUUCUGAAGGAAACUUGGGACCUGUAGCACGGGUACAAACAUCUGUAUUUUAGAUGUGUGAAGGGAAGUGAGGCAAAUCCUCCUUUGCACGCAGAGAGAAGGAAAGCAUUGCCACAAGAUGUCCUCUGAACCUGAGUCAGCAUCCAGUCACCAUCCACUCUUGUCUCUGGGAGAGGCAAGGAAGGAGGAAGACAGUGGACUGCCUGUUGCUGGAGAAGAUACUGAAGAAGCACCAAAAAGGACUGAUGGGGAAUCCAUGAUGGGCCAGGUAGUGCCAAGAUGAUGUACUGGGAUGGUAAUACUGAAGUUCAUAGUGUUUCUGGAUGAGGUGACGUGAACAGGUCAGGACAGAGCAUAGUGGAGGCAUUGUGGAGAAAAAGUCUGAAAUAUUACAGAGAUUAAUAGUAUGGUAAUAUUUAUCCAUGGCCAAUAUAUGCAAGAUCAGUGAGCAUGUGGAAUAAAGUAUGUUUUUUGGUUUAGAUUCUGAAAAAUAUCAGGAAGAGAGUAUUAUUGGAAACCAAGAAAAAGAAGUGAGGGUGAAAAGGCCAAGGAGGUCAAGUUAUGUUUCAUCCCUCAUCAAGAGCUUCUGAUGCCUGAUCAGAUCUUCUUGUGUGCUAAUUACAAAUCAACACGGUGCUCUAUUAGAUAUGCUUCUUUUCACUGAGCAGACCAACCGCUUCAGAGACCAGGCAGACUCAUGUCUGUGUAGUGGCAACUUCCACUUGUAACAACAGCAGUGGCUUUGGCACAGCUAUCUGAGAUUUCAUGGGAGAAUUUAAUUAAAAAA